GAUGAACGCUGGCGGCGUGCCUAAUACAUGCAAGUCGAGCGAAAAGACGAGGCGCUUGCUCCUCUGACGUUAGCGGCGGACGGGUGAGUAACACGUGGAUAACCUACCUAUAAGACUGGGAUCACUUCGGGAAACCGGAGCUAAUACCGGAUAAUAUAUUGAACCGCAUGGUUCAAUAGUGAAAGACGGCUUUGCUGUCACUUCUAGCUGGAUCCGCGCUGCAUUAGCUAGUUGGUAAGGUAACGGCUUACCAAGGCAACGAUGCGUAGCCGACCGGAGAGAGUGGUCGGCCGCACUGGAGCGGAGACGCGGUCCAUGCGCCUACGGGAGGCAGCAGUAGGCAAUCUUCCGCAGUGGUCGAAAGCCUGACGGAGCAACGCCGCGUGAGUGGUGAAGAUCUUCGGAGCGUAAAACUCGGUUAUGAGUUAAGAACAAAUGUGUAAGUAACUAUGCACGUCUUGACGGUACCUAAUCAGAAAGCCACGGCUAACUACGUG
rnacentral:rRNA from 1 species